UACUUUCUCUCCAUCUCUCGAGUCUGCAAUCCUCUGGUUUGCUUUGUUUUCAGGAAGGCUCUCCCCUGAGGAUGCCCACAGAUCCUGGCUCGCACUCAAGCAGCCCAGUGACCCCAGCACAAAGAGCAGACUUCCUAUUCAGUGCUUCUAGGAAAACUUCCAAGGCCAGACUCCAAACCAGCAGGGGUCACGUGUCCUUCUGGAGCCCAAACCCUGUGACCGGGGUGUGGCACCAGCUGAUGGGCUAGGCCUGGUGGAUGGAAUCUCUGCCUGAGAAUGGGCGAGGCCGGGACCUGAGGGAAAGGAGGAGCUGACGCCAGACCGAGGGGGUGAAUUCCCCAGGCUAUGUUUCCAGCCCCACCGCGUUCCUAGAAAUGCGUGUGGAUCCGCCCUGCACAGAAACCUCGUGUCAUACCAGGAAGCUGGGCUUGGGUCUCAGACUUGGCAUAUCCAGAAUGAAACCCUCCGUGCACCCUCCAGAUCUCUAACCAGCCCCUCCCCAUGCAGUAAAUGUGAGCUCAGGCCAGACCUCGGGGUCAUCCAGGUGCUCAGGCCAGAUUCGGGGUCAUCUCUGUGCCCCCUCCCACCCUAUUGUCAACCUCUAGGAAGUCUUGUCUGUUCUGUAUUCCAGAACUGCCCGGUCCAUCUACCCUGA
rnacentral:lncRNA from 12 species